GCGCAAAUUGCCCAAUGCAAACACAAUCUGCGAGGCAGCGACGAACUGCAGCAAUUCCACUGGUCUUCUUCACCAGUGGAACUUGGAAUGGAUGCAAUUCAAAGACAGUGAUGAGUAACAACUGGAGGGAAAGUCUGGUGCCAGCAGCUGCGGUAAUUCCAGCUCCAAGGGCGUAUACUAACAUUGCUGCGGUUAAAACACUUGUAGUCUGCCAUUGGGUCGCAAGUCUGCCAGGUGGCCGCACUGUCCGCGGUGGCCCGCCCCCGGUGACCCAUCCAUUGCGCCGACAACCCCUUUGGGGGGGCCGGCGGUUGCGCGGCGCGGGCCCGGGUGUGUGUCGGCCCCCUGCCCCGGUGCGGGGAAAACCCCCGGCGGUAUGCUCCUACACCCGCCAAGUUUGCUCGCGAUGGUGAGAUCUGCUCCUGCCGAAAACCCCCUUCACUGGGGUCCCAAGUGGGUUCACCCCGAACGCAGGUGUGCGACAACCAAAGGCGGACCGGUGCCUCCAUUUGUGCCCACCCGGUACAAGCAACCGCCCGUCCACCUCCGGAGUACACCAUCACAGACACCGUGGAAAACUCAGUGUGCUCAAAGCAUCCACCUGCUCGGCUGGAUGCCCGUCCAUGGCAUGUCAAGGCACCGACCAAGUGUGGCACUGGAGUUGUGCUGGCCUUGGCGCCCGCUCUGAGCAAUGUGGUGCGUGCCCGACGCAUGUCCGCAUACAUGCCCACCGCCCGCGCACGCCCCCGGGGGGCCCUUUCUUGGGGUGUCCCCCUUCGUGAAGCCGGCCGGUGCGCAUCGGCCGCGCGCAUCGACCGAAUCCGAUGGGACCACUCAGGGUGAAAGGGACUACCGCGCCAGAGGUGAAAUUCUUAGACCGCCGCAAGACCCACGGCGGCGAAGGCGCUCUGCAAGGCUGUGUUUGUCAAUCAAAAAUGAGCGUCCAGGGAGCAAAGAUGAUCAGACACCGUCGUAGUCCGGCACUGUCAACCGUGCCAGCUCAGCCUCGGCUUGGAAAAUCCAUCGACCCAGCCAGAGCCACGCCCCCUUCAACGAGAAAUCCAAGCCCAUGGGUUCUAGGGGGAGUACCGUCGCAAGGCUGAAACUUAAAGGAAUUGACGGAAUGGCACCACAAGGCGUGGAGUAUGCGGCUUAAUUUGACUCAACAUGGGGAAUGUUACCAGGUCAG
rnacentral:rRNA from 1 species